rnacentral:lncRNA from 1 species
GAAGGUGGCUGUGACCAAAGGCGCCUGGCAGGUCAGUCCUGUUUGAGCUGGGUCUGGCCACAGGAAAUUCCCAAACACGAUCCCUCACCUGUCACACCGAGAAGAGGCUCCCAGGGAUGGGUGGCUUUCUGUAGUUCCAAGAAAUGCAACGUUCAUGAUGAAGAACAACUCUUGGUCACAGCUAAGUGUUGAAGUUUGCUUGCUAGAGUCACACCACAAGUGUUCCCUGAGAACUGCAGGUGCCUGGAUCAGUUGGGUGGCAUCCUGGGGACUCCCAGGUGUGGUGCUUUUACACCGGCUGUUGGAUUUCUGAAUUCUCCUUGGCAAAGUCAGCAGGAGCAGAACUGGGGAAAGCUGAGUCUCUCAGAAUGUCCUUUCUGUCUUUUAUUUCCAGUCAUGGUUAACUGGGAAUUUCAUACAUUAAACAGCAGUUGGAAACAGGCCAGAAGAAAUACGAAAAUCCAACAAACUCUUCUCUUAUUAGAGAUUCUUCCUUCCUUCUCUAACUCUGGGGCUCCUGCCUGGCUCAGCCCCUCACCAGCUCCCUGCAGUGUGUGCCCAGCAUCCCUUUUCCAUAGCCCAGUGGGGAUGUUUCCAGUGGGCUUCAGACACAAACAGGAAAACCUUCCUUCCAGCCAUGGUAAAUAACAUUACCUCAUCUCUGAUACUGUUCUUCUCCACGGAGGUUUAUUGCAAUGGGACAUCGGACACAAGGCCAAGAGGUUAAGGAGCUCAAGCCAAGGUCUGUGUGCCCUGGAGAACAGGAGAUGCCCCCCUCCCCUGCACUGCGAGUUAAGAACCCAUCCAGGGAACCUGAAGGCUGUUCCCUCCAGUGCCAGCGAGGGACCCGAGGGUGCUGCUGUGGAUCAGCUGCUUCCAGUUCCCUGGAAAACACCCAGAGACCGCGGGCAGUGCAGAAGGAACCUGCUGGGACGGAGAGCAGUGGUCAGGCAGCCCCGGCUGUCCCAGUGGUCAGAUAGCACUGGUCAGGCAGCUCAGGCUGCCCUGGGGAUCAGGCAGCACUGCCUGUCCCAGUGGCCAGGCAGCCCCGGCGGUCAGGCAGCCCGGGUGCCCCGGUGUGUGAGCCGUACCCACGCACUGAGCGCCGCUCGCAGCCACCCCGCCGUGCUGAGAACACACACCUCGGCUGUCCCACGGCGGCGUGCAGCAAGGAGCGCUUCAGUCUCAGAAAGAUGUGCUUAAUUGUUUCCAAAAUGUUUGAAAGGCUAUGAGAGUCUCUAGACAAUAUUGCUGUUUCAAAAUGUACUGCGAAUGCCAAAAAAAGCCCAGUGAGGCUGGUUUAUUUUGCUCAAAGCUUUUCUGAAAAAUCUUUCACUUUAAACGUAAUAAACCCCAGUACUUCUGAAUAAAACA